rnacentral:miRNA from 1 species
UGGUCCCUUUCAACCAACUAUU